UGUGGGUGAAGUCACAUUUCUACCUGCCAAAAAGAGGAGCAAGAGGAUGCUGGAAUGAAGGGACAGCAGUAGAGAAGGCACAAAGGUGUGGACCCACAGGGAAGAAUUUUAGACAGUUUCUGCUUGUCUGAAGAAACCAUAAUGGCCUUCUCCUAAGUAGUUGCUUUGCAAAGGACUGCAGAUUUCCUAAGGACCCACCCCUGCCAUGUCUCACUGCUCCUGAACAUGUAACAGAUUCAAAUUCCAGCAGAUCUCACAGAAUGAUGGAUGGAGUCAUUCUGAGGAGGUAUAUACCCAAACGAAUUGAAGGCAGGAACUUGAACUGUUAUUUUCAUAGUGGCAUUAUUCACAAUAGCCAAAAGAUGGAAGCACCCACGUGUGUAUCAACAGAUGAAUGGAUAAAUAAAAUAUGGUAUACACAU